rnacentral:rRNA from 1 species
CACGUAGGCGGUUCGUCGCGUCCGGUGUGAAAGUCCAUCGCCUAACGGUGGAUCUGCGCCGGGUACGGGCGGGCUGGAGUGCGGUAGGGGAGACUGGAAUUCCCGGUGUAACGGUGGAAUGUGUAGAUAUCGGGAAGAACACCAAUGGCGAAGGCAGGUCUCUGGGCCGUUACUGACGCUGAGGAGCGAAAGCGUGGGGAGCGACA